GACAUAUUUUACAGAGGUGGUUUGGAGAACAUAUAUAAUCCAGGAAAUGAUUCAAAGUUUAUCUGGCAUACUAAGAAACAGAAGAAACUUGGAGGGAAGGAGAUGUGAAUGAAGGUUAUAAAAGUAAAAUGAUAGAAAAUCCAACAGGUUUUGAUUUGCAUCUCACGCCAGUUAGAAUGGCGAUCAUUAAAAAAUCUGGAGACAACAGAUGCUGGAGAGGAUGUGGAGAAAUAGGAACACUUUUACACUGUUGGUGGGAGUGUAAAUUAGUUCAACCAUUGUGGAAGACAGUGUGGUGAUUCCUCAAGGCCUUAGAAAUAGAAAUUCCAUUUGACCCAGCAAUCCCAUUACUGGGUAUAUCCAAAAGACUAUAAAUCGUUCUACUAUAAGGACACAUGUACACGAAUGUUCAUUGCAGCACUGUUUACAAUAGCAAAGACCUGGAAUCAACCCAAAUGCCCAGUGAUAAUAGAUUGGAUUUGAAAAAUGUGGCACAUAUACACCAUGGAAUAUUAUGCAGCAAUCAGAAAUGAUGAGUUUGUGUCAUUUGUAGGGACAUGGAUGAAUCUGGAGAACAUCAUCCUCAGCAAACUGACACAAGAACAGAAAAUGAAACACCGCAUAUUCUCACUCAUAGGUUAGCACAGAGAAUUCUGGAAGACUUCCACAGAAGGCAAGAGCACCACUGGGAGAGAAGAAACCUUCCACUUGGAUUCAUUUUCACUGUUGUAAUUUAAGACAUUUAAAAGAACCUGCAUCCAAGCACCCAAGGGCUCCAGAUAGCUGGCAGUAAGGUGGGAACAUUAUUUGGGCAGCUCUAUGCUUACAAGAUCAUUCUAAAAGUAAUGAAGAUAGAAAGUUAAGAUGAUAGAGAAUAUCUGAGAACCUGAUUCAGAAACAGGUAAAAACACAAAAGGAGUUAGAUGUGUGAACUAAGAAAAUUAAGCAUGCAAUAACAUAAUUAAAACCUGCAUUAAAAGAGUUUUAAUUAUAGAGUGUGGUCUGAUAACACUCUGAAUGUAAGAAAGUUGAAUUCUCAUAAAAUGUGUAGAGGUUGGGGAUUAAUUAAAAAAAAACAAACAGAUAGCAGAACCUGAAUAUAGAUAAUUGCUCUUAAAAAAAUAAAAAUCAGUUUCUGCACAGCAAAAUAAACUAUCAACAGAGUAAACAGACAGCCUACAAAAUUACAAAAUGGGAGAAAAA
rnacentral:lncRNA from 1 species